rnacentral:rRNA from 1 species
AACGUAGGUGGCAAGCGUUAUCCGGAUUUACUGGGCGUAAAGGGUGUGCAGGCGGAAGCCCAAGUGGUGUAUGAAAGCUCCCAGCUUAACUGGGAAGGGUUAUGCCAGACUGGGCAUCUAGAGUGUGGGAGAGGGACGUGGAAUUCCGGGUGUAGUGGUAAAAUGCGUAGAGAUCCGGAGGAACACCAGAGGCGAAGGCGGCGUCCUGGCCCAUAACUGACGCUCAUCCACGACAGCAUGGGGAG